UGUGUUUAUGUGUGUGCGUGUAUGUGUGUCCAUGGUCGUUAAAUUAUUAGAUUCACAAGUCGCAGUGACUUUAGAUUGCCAGUUAUGGUUUAAGCAUUUAAGAUUUUUUACAACUAGUUCCUUAUUUGAAAAUGUUUUCCUAGAGUUCUCAUAUGAUUCACGAUAUGGUAAAUGAUAUUUGCAUUUGAUUAAUUCUCUCUUUGGGUUUCAUUCUUAAGAGUUCAUAGUAAUGGGUUAUUGUGCCCAACCUUG
rnacentral:lncRNA from 1 species